CUGUGGCGGAAUUGGCAGACGCGCUAGGUUCAGGUCCUAGUCCGGGUUAACCGGGUGGAGGUUCGAAUCCUCUCAGCCGCA
rnacentral:tRNA from 1 species